UAGCGAGGCUCGCUACAUCACGAACUGAUCUGGUAACCCACAGAGCAAUACGGUUAGGUUUCACGUGGGCCAAUUAGAGAGUUUGAGGAAAAUUCUCAAAUAAUAGCAACCCAAUUUAAAACCA